rnacentral:rRNA from 1 species
CAGUAGCCGCGGUAAUACGUAGGGUGCAAGCGUUAAUCGGAAUUACUGGGCGUAAAGCGUGCGCAGGCGGUCCGCUAAGACAGAUGUGAAGUCCCCGGGCUUAACCUGGGAACUGCAUUUGUGACUGGCGGGCUAGAGUAUGGCAGAGGGGGGUAGAAUUCCACGUGUAGCAGUGAAAUGCGUAGAGAUGUGGAGGAAUACCGAUGGCGAAGGCAGCCCCCUGGGCCAAUACUGACGCCCAUGCACGAAAGCGUGGGGAGCAAACAGGAUUAGAUACCCCGGUAGUCCCUGUCCCUUAUAA